GAUUAACGCUGGCGGCGUGCAUAACACAUUCAAGUCGAACGGAGAAGAUUGCUUCGGUAAUCUUCUUAGUGGCGGACGGGUGAGUAACGCGUGAGCAAUCUACCCUCAGGUACGGAAUAACAACCGGAAACAGUUGCUAAUACCGUAUGAAAUGGCAGUAUCGCAUGGUACAACCAUCAAAGAGAAAUUGCCUGAGGAUGAGCUUGCGUCCGAUUAGAUAGUUGGCGGGGUAACGGCCCACCAAGUCGACGAUCGGUAGCCGGACUGAGAGGUUGAACGGCCACAUUGGAACUGAGAUACGGUCCAG
rnacentral:rRNA from 1 species